rnacentral:tRNA from 2 species
CGGCGCGUGGCUCAGCUUGGUAGAGCGCUGCGUUCGGGACGCAGAGGUCGUGGGUUCAAAUCCCGUCGCGCCGA